rnacentral:rRNA from 1 species
GAAUUUUGGACAAUGGGGGAAACCCUGAUCCAGCCAUGCCGCGUGUGUGAAGAAGGUCUUCGGAUUGUAAAGCACUUUAAGUUGGGAGGAAGGGCUUUAGGUUAAUACCCUGAAGUUUUGACGUUACCAACAGAAUAAGCACCGGCUAACUCUGUGCCAGCAGCCGCGGUAAUACAAAGGGUGCAAGCGUUAAUCGGAAUUACUGGGCGUAAAGCGCGCGUAGGUGGUUCAGUAAGAUGGGUGUGAAAUCCCCGGGCUUAACCUCGGAACUGCAUUCUUAACUGCCGGGCUAGAGUAUGUCAGAGGGGGGUAGAAUUCCACGUGUAGCAGUGAAAUGCGUAGAUAUAGGAUGGAACACCAGUGGCGAAGGCGACUACCUGGACUGAUACUGACACUGAGGUGCGAAAGCGUGGGGAGCAAACA